rnacentral:rRNA from 1 species
UCUACACUCUUUCCCUACACGACGCUCUUCCGAUCUCUGAAAGCCGAUGAAGGACGUGAUAUACUGCGAUAAGUUUCGGGGAGCUGUAUGUAAGCUUUGAUCCGAAAAUUUCCGAAUGGGGAAACCCACCACUUUAUGUGGUACUUUAAACUGAAUACAUAGGUUUAAAGAGACAACCUGGAGAACUGAAACAUCUAAGUAACCAGAGGAAAAGAAAUCAAUUGAGAUUCCGUUAGUAGUGGCGAGCGAACGCGGAGUAGGCCAGUAGUUUUGUUAGAAAAAUUUGAAUAGUUUGGAAAUGCUAACCAUAGAGGGUGAUAGUCCCGUAUGAGUAAUGUCUAACAAAAUUCUUGAGUAAAGCGGGACACGAGAAAUCCUGCUCGAAUAUAGGGGGACCACCCUCUAAGCCUAAAUACUCUUCAGUGACCGAUAGUGAACUAGUACCGUGAGGGAAAGGUGAAAAGAACCCCUAUUAGGGGAGUGAAAUAGAACCUGAAACUGCAUGCCUACAAUCAGUCCGAGCCCUUUUUAGGGUGAGGGCGUACCUUUUGUAUAAUGGGUCAGUGACUUAAUUUAUUAAGCAAGCUUAAGCCAUCUAGGUGUAGGCGCAGCGAAAGCAAGUCUUAAUAGGGCGAUUAGUUUAAUGAAUUAGACCCGAAAACGAAUGAGCUUACCAUGAGCAGGUUGAAAGUUGGGUAACACCAACCGGAGGACCGAACCAGUUGACGUUGAAAAGUCUUUGGAUGACUUGUGGUAAGGGGUGAAAGGCCAACCAAAUUCGUAGAUAGCUGGUUUUCCGCGAAAACUAUUUAGGUAGUGCGUCGAAUAAAUAGAUGUUUAGAGGUAGAGCACUAAAUGGGCUAGGGGGAAGAGAUUCUUACCAAACCUAAUAAAACUCCGAAUGCUAGACAUUGUUCUUCGGCAGACAGACUGUGGGUGCUAAGGUCCAUGGUCGAGAGGGAAAGAGCCCAGACCACCAGAUAAGGUCCCAAAAUCAUGAUUAAGUGUGAAAGGAUGUGGAAAUUCCUUAACAGCCGGGAGGUUGGCUUAGAAGCAGCCAUCCUUUAAAGAUAGCGUAACAGCUCACCGGUCUAAUAGAGUUUCUGCGCCGAAGAUGUAACGGGGCUAAAAUCAUGUACCGAAUCUGUGGCUUUGCAAAGUUUUCGAACUUUGUAAGGGGUAGCGGAACGUUCUGUAAGCCUGCGAAGGGAUACCCGUGAGGGAUCCUGGAGGUAUCAGAAGUGCGAAUGCUGACAUAAGUAACGAUAAACGAAGUGAAAAACUUCGUCGCCGAAAAUCUAAGGGUUUCUAUGCAAGGUUAAUCCGCGUAGAGUUAGUCGGCACCUAAGGCGAGGGCGAAAGCCGUAGUCGAUGGAAACAAGGUUAAUAUUCCUUGACCUGAUGGUAGUGACGGAUUUCGUAAGUUGUGAGUUCUUAAUGGAUUGAACUUGCCGCGAAGAGGUCCCAAGAAAUAGCUCCAUCAUGAAGACCGUACCCGAAACCGACACAGGUAGAUUAAUAGAGUAUAUUUAGGCGCUUGAGAGAAUGAUGUUGAAGGAACUCGGCAAAAUGCUUCCGUAACUUCGGGAUAAGGAAGACCCUUUUGUAGGCAACUAUAGAAGGGUGGCACAAGCCAGGGAGAAGCGACUGUUUAUCAAAAACACAGGGCUCUGCUAACACGUAAGUGGAUGUAUAGGGUCUGACGCCUGCCCGGUGCUGGAAGGUUAAUGCGGUUGGUGCAAGCUAACUUCUGAAGCCCCAGUAAACGGCGGCCGUAACUAUAACGGUCCUAAGGUAGCGAAAUUCCUUGUCGGGU